rnacentral:miRNA from 1 species
UUUGGAAGACUGAGGCAAGAGGAUCACUUGAGGCCAGGGGUUUGAGACCAGCCUGGGCAACAAAGUGAGACCUCCGUCUCUAC